rnacentral:rRNA from 1 species
AUACGUAGGGGGCAAGCGUUGUCCGGAAUUACUAGGCGUAAAGGGCGUGUAGGCGGCCGAGCAAGUCAAGUGUGAAAAGCCCCGGCUUAACCGAGGCAUUGCACAUGAAACUGCUUGGCUUGAGUGCAGGAGAGGGAAGUGGAAUUCCUAGUGUAGCGGUGAAAUGCGUAGAUAUUAGGAGGAACACCAGUGGCGAAGGCGACUUCCUGGGCUGUAACUGACGCUGAGGCGCGAAAGCGUGGGUAGCAAACAGGAUUAGAUACCCUGGUAGUCCACGCCGUAAACGAUGGGUACUAGGUGUGGGUAGUUCACUCUAUCCGUGCCGCAGCAAACGCAAUAAGUACCCCGCCUGGGGAGUACGGCCGCAAGGUUGAA